CAACAAUACCUACAUGGGCAACGUCGUCAGAGGUCUCACCGUCUUCUGACCCAUUGACGGCGUCAAGUUAGUGGCAGCUGGGAAAGCUAUUGAGGUUGGAGUAGACGGCGUAAUUGUUUCGAAUCAUGGUGGUCGCCAACUUGACUGUGCACCUGCUGCAAUUUCUGCCCUUGAGGAGGUUGCGGAGGGACACACACAGUGAGAGCAGGAGAAAGUUCCAUUCCUCAGUCAAUAUCAGAUACCAAUGGCUACUCUGAACAAC